rnacentral:rRNA from 1 species
GUACAUGCCUAAACAUGGUGUUAAUGCAUCGGAUCCCAUUAUAGCUUCGCAGUUAAGUGCGCUUGGGUUAGAUUAGUACUGGGAUGGGUGACCACCCGGGAAGUCCUAGUAUUUUACAUU